rnacentral:rRNA from 1 species
AGAAUUGAUCUGGUCAGGAUGAACGCUGGCGGCGUGCUUAACACAUGCAAGUCGAACGAGGUACUUUCACGAUCCCUUCGGGGUGACGAGCUGUAACCGAGUGGCGGACGGGUGAGUAACGCGUGGGCAACCUGCCCCAUACAGGGGGAUAACAGUUGGAAACGACUGACAAUACCGCAUAAGCGCACACUGCGGCAUCGCAGAGUGUGAAAAAACUCCGGUGGUAUGGGAUGGGCCCGCGUCUGAUUAGCUAGUUGGCAGGGUAACGGCCUACCAAGGCGACGAUCAGUAGCCGACCUGAGAGGGUGACCGGCCACAUUGGGACUGAGACACGGCCCAAACUCCUACGGGAGGCAGCAGUGGGGAAUAUUGCACAAUGGAGGAAACUCUGAUGCAAGCGACGCCGCGUGAGCGAUGAAGUAUUUCGGUAUGUAAAGCUCUAUCAGCAGGGAAGAAUAAUGACGGUACCUGACUAAGAAGCCCCGGCUAACUACGUGCCAGCCGCCGC